rnacentral:misc_RNA from 1 species
GAACGCACAUUGCGCCCGGCAGUAAUCUGCCGGGCAUGCCUGUUCGAGCGUCAUUUCAGCCCUCGAGCCCCCGGCUCGGUGUUGGGGCACUGCGGAACGCCUCCCUGAGGACCCGCAGGCCCCGAAAUGUAGUGGCGGUCCCGCCGCGGCGUCCCCUGCGUAGUAGUGUCUAUUUUUAAACAGUCUCGCAUCGGUCCCCGGCAGCGACCAGCCGUCAAACCCCCCCUUCUUUUACAGAUGGUUUGACCUCGAAUCAGGUAGGGUUACCCGCUGAACUUAAGC